GAUAGGGCGCAUGCGCAACUGCAACCGCACUUGAUGGGCGGUCUUCCCUGAGGACGGAGUGGAGGCGCCAUGGCGGUUGCGGGCCAGCGUGUGGGGCUGGCUGGUCUGCGGGAGGAAGACGUUUCCCGCCCGCGCCCCGGCCGGUGCAAAGGGGCUGUGCUCUCUCCUCGAGGUUCCGCGUCUUCCUUUCCGGCCGCCCCGCACGGUGUAUCCCCACCUUCUCAGCAAAAACUGUGACCAUUAAAAGCAAGAAAUGAUAUCCAGGCAAGUUAUUUUCCUGGUGGAACAAUGUAGCUGUAAGAAAAUAGUAAAUUUCUUCAGGUGUGAACCCUGGUCAUCCACAUGUGAAACCUGGGAAUGAGUGUCCCAGGACUGACGCCUUCCUCAAGCUCAGCACCUAGAACAUAGAUCUGAUUGAGCUAAACUGGUGAUGCACCUGCUUCCCAGCAAGGUUGUGGCCUCUAAUGGCUGUCUCCUGCUCCUGUGUCCGUGGCCUGCUCAGGAUAUGGGAGACACUUAGGCUGAUUCCUCAGUGCCUUGUGUACUUCCAAGGCCGAGAACUUGCUGAGCAAAACAUAACUUCUUUACUUUUGUGAACACCUGGCCUCCAAAAGGCAGAAAUAUUUAGUGACAAUGUACUGAGGACAUAAUUCCUUAGUCAUUCCCUGACCUCCACUCUCUGUCACAGAGACAUGCGAAACCACGGUAUCAGGCUUAUGGGUCAUGAAUUGGCUGUGUCAAGAAGUUCUAGGCCAUGUGGGAAGACUCCUCUCUCCUCUGAGAUUUCUGCUUCAACCAACGGGGAGCGGCUUUCCUUCAGGUCUGAACUGAAACCCUAUCUCAGAAUUUCUCACUUCGCCAGUGUCUACACUAGUGGAUCUCAGAACAAAUUCUCAAGUCACUGAAAUUGUUUCUUGCCACGACAACGCUGUAUGGUCAUCUAGUCGUCCUUGCAGCAGCGGACGCCAGGUAACAACCAAAUGGAGGAAAAACCACCGGGACAGAUCUGCAUGGCACGGAAGAGAAGGUGCGCCUCCACCCGUCCGAACUCAUGCCCUCUGGCCCACCGCAGGUACCACUUCUCUCCACGGGUUGUCUCCUCGUCCACACGCGCGUUCAGAGGCCAUUCCGGUACGAGAUUCUCACGAGGAGCCUCUGACAACCGCGCCCACCCAGGACCGCGCAUCGCCUCGUGCCUUCUCACGACCAUCACCAGACGCCCCAGGCAGCUCCCCAUUUCCACAUUUGUUAGGCUUCUCCGACCACCAAGCCACAAGCGGAACCGUGGCUGCGCCUGGAGCGCCCUCCCCUCUCGCCCGCGACUGUCCUUGCUGUCACCUGUGGUGAGAGACCUGGUCCACACAAGCGCUUCGCCGACGAAGCCAGCAGAAGUGGGGACGCCGGGCGCUCCCCCUUAGACGCACUUCGGCCUGCAGGGGAAUACCGUCUGCGGAGCCGCAUGACCGCUUUUCGCGGAUUUCGGAGAAAGUAGCCGCAUGGGAGGAGCUCCACCACGGCGACGGGAGCGGGACGCACCGUUUUCCCAAGGCGGCCAAGAAGCAGCACCGGGCGUCCUAUUGGACGGGGCGUGGCGGUCCCGUGGGAAGGAGGACGUGAAGGCCGGGGUCGCACUUCCAGUGCCUCCUCGUUACGCCAUUCGGGCCCUACCCACUGCGGAGAAAAACAAAUUUGGGAAUAAGGGCGAAGGGGAUCGAGAGAGAAGACCGCCGGAAACUUGGCGGCGUCCACGUCCGUAGGAGACUUAGAACCUCUCAGGCGACACUUGGCAAGCGGAAGUACGACCACCGGGCCACACGGACGACUCCGGGGAUGGAUACCCCCUCUUAACCACGUGCUUCAAUGUGGGCGUUUCACGCGCAAGGGACACAAGGGAGUGCCGGUCGAACCGCCCAGACCCACCACUCAACGACUUUAAGGGAGCGCAGCGCCGUCCUCACAAUAGGCAUGUCUGCCCGUCCAAACCCCCGAAAGAAGCAUGCGCCCAUGCCCCGGAGACCGGGACCCAAGCGCGCCAGACAACAAGCACAUCGGGCCCUCCAGCGGCCUCAACGCCCGUGCCCGGUGCGUUCCCCACGUCCGGAGUGGGACGCUCGUGGACCGAAGUGGUAGAAAAUGAACGCUCCUAAAGUGACUCAGAAGGACGGACCAUCGAGCCUCAGGCGCUCCGGAGGGCUCGCAAGAACCUCUCCCUACACAACGCGGCGGGCGACCCAGGUAGGGUCGAGUCCGCUUAGUUCUCGUGGCUGGAGGAGAAGAGGCGGUUGCUGGUCGACCAAGCUAGGCAGCCCUCACAUCUUACUGGGGAGCGAGGCAACGAUCACAACCUCGUAAACCUACACACCCAAUCUCCAGCGAACGCAGGAGGAGCCCAUGCCCCGGGAACACCGGGACAGUCGCCACAGGCGUAGCCGGGCUCCCGGAACGCUGCCUCGCGCCCGGCGUCCGAAUGUCAGCCCUCGCGAAGAUCGCCGAAGCUCCGGAGACAAGGGACGAUAUAAAAGCGGCCGCCAGGUGGCGCCCGACCACCGGCUCGAACGUCCCUGGGCCGGAUCCCGAUCGCCGAAAGGCGAGGGUGCAGUGCCGGCCGCCCAAACGUCCGAGCUCGUCUCGGGGAGUCCGCCUCGGAGCUAGCGACCGGCUCGGCACGACACGGCGCGACCCCGGCAGCAGACGGGAGACGAGGAGCUGGGAGGAUGGUGCCGGGAGGCUGCCGCGAAAGAGACGUGCUCUUCACGCAAUUCCUGGGCCGCCGGCCGCUGUAAACAAGGAAAAUUCUGCAGGGGGAUGGACUGCGUGAACUGUAAGCUGAAACCAUGAACGUACCAAUAGAAAACACGGACGACAUUUUAUUCUGUAAUUGCAGAGUGGAGAUGUUACUAAAACAUCAAAACCAGGGCCCAGAAGCCAUAAAGGAAACGAUUGAUAACUUGACCACCUAAUUGAUCUUUACAUAUUUCACAAGCAAAGUCAAAUGACAAGAAGUGGGUAGGUGGGAACAUUUGUGCAAAUACAUGUGUACUAAGAACAUUGAUAUCAGUAUUACUUAAGAACAGAACAUUUAGAAAACAGCCAAUGAGAGGGACCAGAGACUUCACACUGGAGAAGAGCCCACUGAAUGUAACAAAUAUGAGGAGAUUUCACAUAGACCACAACUAUCACGCCACAUGAGUGACCUCUCACAGGACAGAAACCCUAUGCUUGCAAUCAAUUUGGAAGAGCCUUCAGCCUUUAUUCAUCAUCGAAUUAACAUAAGAUAAUUUAUACUGGAGUGAAACCAUGCAGGUCUCAUUAAUGUGGGAAGGCUUGUAGACAAAGCUGUAACCUUAGAUGACAUGAGAAACUCACCCUGUAGUUAACCCCUAUAUAUGUUAUAAACAUGGAGGAUAGUUUAGCUGCAGCCUCAUAUUUAAAUACACCAGAAACUCACACUGAAGAGAACCGUUAAUGUAAUAAAUGGGGGACACACUUCAGCAGAGCCUUAACUUUUAUGCACACUGAUGAACUCACAAGGUGAGAAUGCCUCUGUCUCAAAACACUGUAAAAUCUGGUGCUUCAAUCAUUCUAUUCCAUUUAUAUUUUCUAUUAAUGUGUCUCUCGUGACGUAAAAUUGAAUUACAAAUAAAUUUAAUUUUUCACAAGUGUCCUAGUCCUAGAGAAUUUGUGGACGCGGCCAUGAAAAUUCCAAGAAUUCAGUCAGGCAGGGGUUUAUUCCUGCAACAGAAUUUUUUAUCCAAAAUGUUUUUUCCCCCACCUAGAACAGAUAGAUAUGUCAGAAUCAAGAAGGUGGGAGAUCAUUCCAGAAACACAAUAUUGUAAAGAAACGAUACCCCCAAUAAAUAAAAUAAGGUAAGAUAAAAUAAAAUAAAUCAUUGCAGACAUGGAGAGUUCCAUUUUCAGAUUUGGAGAGGGUAGGGGCUUUCUGAUAAGGUCGGGCUCCUCUUCAGAUAAAUUGCUUUUACUUUGUUGGCCUAAAAACAUUUAUUAUAACUCUAAAGUCCACGGAUGUCUAAUGGGUGAAAGCA